GGCAGGACGGAAAAAGCGACCCAAACCGGGGUUGUCGUCAUCUCUCCGAAGCCUGACUGCUCUGAUUCUCUUUCUUGAGUACUCACACUUUCCUUUCAGGCUUGACCAGUCUGAGGACUGGCAGGGGGUGGGGGGAGAUGACAUUUGGAUUGAAUGCUUUCUGUAACAGGUUACUGCAAGAGGUUUAAUUUGAAUUGAAGAGUACUAAAAAGGCUUAAUACAUCAACAUAUCCCGUAGAAACCUUGGCAGAGCUUGAAAUUUCUCCAUAUUGAUUUGCAUUCAUUUUAUUUGUGCAGCCUGCAUCAGCUCCGAUUCAAAACGCUACGAAUGGGAAAAAAAAGAAGCAUUCAUAUCUUCUGCUGCUAAUUUAAUAGAAAUGUCAAUGAAUAUUUCCAAGAAGUAUUUUAUUGUUAUUAAUUCAUGAUAGGGCUGCCCGUUUAAUUUCUUUCUUUCUUUUAUGUAAUCAUGUAUUUCACAAAUCAUCUUUUUAUUUGUAUUUAGUUUUUAAAAUUAUUCGUUUUGUUACAUCCAUUUUAGUCAUACAAAUAAUCUAGACUCAUUGAUUCAUCACAA